UGGGGAAUCUUGGACAAUGGGCGCAAGCCUGAUCCAGCCAUGCCGCGUGGAUGAUGAAGGCCUUAGGGUUGUAAAAUCCUUUCGUGGGGGACGAUAAUGACGGUACCCCAAGAAGAAGCUCCGGCUAACUUCGUGCCAGCAGCCGCGGUAAUACGAAGGGGGCUAGCGUUGUUCGGAUUUACUGGGCAUAAAGCGCGUGUAGGCGGGUCGUUAAGUUGGGGGUGAAAUCCCGAGGCUCAACCUCGGAACUGCCUUCAAAACUGGCGACCUGGACUCAAGCAGAGGCAAGUGGAAUUGCGAGUGUAGAGGUGAAAUUCGUAGAUAUUCGCAGGAACACCAGUGGCGAAGGCGACUUGCUGGGCUUGUAGUGACGCUGAGACGCGAAAGCGUGGGGAGCAAACAGGAUUAGAUACCCCAGUAGUCCCUGAGCGGGCUGGCAAGGCGCAU
rnacentral:rRNA from 1 species